rnacentral:rRNA from 1 species
GACGAACGCUGGCGGCGUGCUUAACACAUGCAAGUCGAACGAUGAACCCGGAGCUUGCUCCGGUGGAUUAGUGGCGAACGGGUGAGUAACACGUGAGUAACCUGCCCUUGACUCUGGGAUAACUGCGGGAAACUGUAGCUAAUACCGGAUACGACCACUGCCUGCAUGGGUGGUGGUGGAAAGCUUUUGCGGUGUGGGAUGGGCCCGCGGCCUAUCAGCUUGUUGGUGGGGUGAUGGCCUACCAAGGCGACGACGGGUAGCCGGCCUGAGAGGGUGACCGGCCACACUGGGACUGAGAUACGGCCCAGACUCCUACGGGAGGCAGCAGUGGGGAAUAUUGCACAAUGGGCGCAAGCCUGAUGCAGCAACGCCGCGUGAGGGAUGACGGCCUUCGGGUUGUAAACCUCUUUUAGUAGGGAAGAAGCGAAAGUGACGGUACCUGCAGAAAAAGCACCGGCUAACUACGUGCCAGCCGCCGCCGUAA